GCAUCAGUUUGGUUUGCUUGCAAACCAAAGCUGGCGACCGGCGCACGGGUGAGUAACACGUAUCCAACCUGCCUCAUACUCGGGGAUAGCCUUUCGAAAGAAAGAUUAAUAUCCGAUAGCAUAUAUUUCCCGCAUGGGUUUUAUAUUAAAGAAAUUCGGUAUGAGAUGGGGAUGCGUUCCAUUAGUUUGUUGGCGGGGUAACGGCCCACCAAGACUACGAUGGAUAGGGGUUCUGAGAGGAAGGUCCCCCACAUUGGAACUGAGACACGGUCCAAACUCCUACGGGAGGCAGCAGUGAGGAAUAUUGGUCAAUGGACGCGAGUCUGAACCAGCCAAGUAGCGUGAAGGAUGACUGCCCUAUGGGUUGUAAACUUCUUUUAUAUGGGAAUAAAGUGGUCCACGUGUGGAUUUUUGUAUGUACCAUAUGAAUAAGGAUCGGCUAACUCCGUGCCAGCAGCCGCGGUAAUACGGAGGAUCCGAGCGUUAUCCGGAUUUAUUGGGUUUAAAGGGAGCGUAGGCGGAUUGUUAAGUCAGUUGUGAAAGUUUGCGGCUCAACCGUAAAAUUGCAGUUGAUACUGGCAGUCUUGAGUGCAGUAGAGGUGGGCGGAAUUCGUGGUGUAGCGGUGAAAUGCUUAGAUAUCACGAAGACUCCGAUUGCGAAGGCAGCUCACUGGAGUGUAACUGACGCUGAUGC
rnacentral:rRNA from 1 species